CACCUGGGGUAUGCGCGAAGCUGGUUAUGUCCUCGAGCCGAUAAAUGUUACCCCGGAGGCUCCUCGUAGAUGCUGUUGAGCAUGUCCGCCUGACGGAAAGCCUGAUGCAUCGCUGGAGCCACCACCUGAACCUUAGGGUUCAGGACUAUACCGGCAGCGGUAUCUUGGGUG
rnacentral:other from 1 species